ensembl:snoRNA LOC120093456 small nucleolar RNA SNORA17
UCUGUCCCUAGAGGAACUGCAGGUGUGGCUAAUAUGUCAUAUGUACCUAAGCAGGUAGCAGAAAGGAGAGAGGCUAUGUCUACACCCAGAGUCGACAAACAUCUGAAUGAUCAGUAGCCUCACAUC